AUCUCAUCAUAUUCGGGGGAGGUAUCAUAUUGACAUGCACUGUAAAUGGGAUAAACACAGUAGACAGAGACGUAACGAGGCAAUGGUCUAUGGGAAAUGACGACCAACUUUUAAGUUACAAUGGCAGAAUAAAUAAUCACAAAAAGUAUGAAGAAACAAUUAUUCCAGGGAAUGCAUUCAGUCUUAUAAUAUUUAAUCUAACAGAAAAAGAUGUAAAUGUAACUUAUCGAUGUCGAUAUGGAUUCGAUACCGCCACAUACUUCAUCAAAAUAAGCGAAAGUGCAAGUCUACAAAAAAGAGGCCCAUGUUAUCAAUCUUCAAAUAUAUCAUGUCAUGUUGCAGAAAUCCAAAAAAACGAAGGGAAUUUAAAACGUAAUAAAACAAUUUCCUUUAAAGAAAAGCUAGGAACAAAAACCAGUGUGCCAGUGUUAUCUAUACUGAUUCCGUUAUUUAUAAUUUUGGUGGCAGUUGCUGUAUUUUUUAUAUCAGUUGCUGUUGUUAUUGCGAAACGAAAACACAAACGAAAAGGAACAAAGAACCAGAACAACAAAAAUGACAAAAACACAUCAGAAUAUAAAACAUGUUUGCAAACGACCGAAGGCAAG